UCCCGCACGCACACGGGACAGGGUCACGUUCUCCUCGUCUUCUAGCCGCCUCUCUCCCAUCACGCGCAGCCCCCACGCCGCCGCCCCAUGAAUGCGGCUGCCCAGCCUCCUCCGUCCUACCUCGGUGCCGUCAGCUCUGCCCUACCCCAUCCCGCCCUCUAUCAAGGAUCUCCACCGAUUCAAGAGGGUCUCUCAGAUCCAAAAAAAAAUACGUGUGAGAGAUUUGGGGCUGAUUGAUCAAUCCUUGGUUGGGAUCUAGGCACGGCUAUGGGGAAGAUAGUGGUGGUUGUGUGCAUCGCAGCGGGACGGCAAUGUUUACGCUGGUGCCAGCGGUGGAAGGGGGUGGAGCUUGUGGGCUCUGCGGAGGCUGACUUGAAGACGAAGGUGGCGGCGGUGAUUAAGGAGGUGGCCCGCACGCUCCUUGAGCUCGAUUAAUCCGAUGUAAACCUUGAUGCAAAAGGAAGCUCCAUGAAGAAGAGAUUGAAAAUCCAACAUCACAACAUAUAUAAGAUUUCUUAUUUUCAUGAUUAGCAAAGUUAUUGCAGACUGCUUGUUUGUUGUCUGAUAAAACACAUCUCUGAAAAUUCGAUAGACCCUUUGAUCGAGUUUACAUCUGUUAUCGUGUCUGUUCCAAAUUUGAUUUAGGUCUAUAGGCAAGGGCUAAACUGAAUCAUGCUACUACACAAGGGCUAAACUAAACCAUACUACUACUUCCUACAUGCCCAAUUACUGAUGAUAGGAACUAACAGUUGGGCUGGGCGAUGUUCCCAUGCAUGGUCGCACUAUGUUAAUUAGUGUGUGCUGACCUAACAUGUUACUAUUAUUUUUCCGCAGAGGAGCGAGGGCCUGGCGAAGCACGUGGACCAGUUAUCGUUACGGUGGAUUUUCCACGACGUGCGCGCUUCGGUCUAAUUAGCGCGUACGCUAAGAAAUAAACUUAGUGGAAAAUUUCAUUCGAAGAUUUGACUAGCAUCCAACCAGAGGAAUAACCCGAAAGGUUGCGACGAAUCGGAUCGGGAUGAGUAGCUAGAUGUGGAUCGAUGGUGGCGGCUGGAAAGGGUUAACCCUCACCGUCUACCUCUCCUGCUGCUCGGUGGUGACAUGUGAUCAUCCACAGCUAUCCGACGUAUGCGGACUCAGAAUGUGGUGUUUGCCCCACAGUGAAGCACAUGACCUUUCCUUGAAGGAUGCAUGGACACGUGCGGACCAUCCCCCACCCCCCUCCAAUGAAACAAUUAUGUAACAUUGAUUCAGAAGCAAGAGGGCGAGUCUGUAACAUUGAUUCAGAAGCGAGAGGGCGUAUGAGGGUCGGUGGACAUAUGGACCAGGUGCAUGGUGUAGCUCGCGCAAGGCGGCCCUCAUGUCUAGCUCAAUGAGAUUAGUUCUAAACAUUUCACUGCGCUAGCGUGGUUCAGUGACAAGUCUGUCGUGCAAUGCUUGAACUCAUCGCCUUGGCAUAUGUUCGGGCGCAUUGUGAUCAGGUGGAUAUCACGACCACUAUGUCGGCGAGGGUGGAAGGACGAUAAGCAAUUACAUGGCUGGGGUAGAGGAUGUGGGCCUGCAUGGGUCUUUGAGUCAUGUUCGGCAUGUGAGUUUGUUGGUUCUACGAGAAAUUCUAUUUAUAUAUAUGCAUAACGUGUACAAUAUGUAGUAUCGUAAAAUACCAGCAAAUGAAAA